UACAGAGGGUGCGAGCGUUACUCGGAAUUACUGGGCGUAAAGCGCGCGUAGGCGGCUUGUUAAGUCAAAUGUGAAAUCCCCGAGCUUAACUUGGGCAUUGCAUUCGAUACUGGCAAGCUAGAGUAUGGGAGAGGAAGGUAGAAUUCCAGGUGUAGCGGUGAAAUGCGUAGAGAUCUGGAGGAAUACCGAUGGCGAAGGCAGCCUUCUGGCCUAAUACUGACGCUGAGGUGCGAAAGCAUGGGGAGCAAACAGG
rnacentral:rRNA from 1 species